GGGUGUUUCAUGAUGGGUGGCUGGUUUCUUGUGAUGCGCUCAGUUGCGCGUGUGUAGGUUGCAGGUGCCUAUCUAAUGGCCACUACCAAGGUUGUUUGUGGUUCUAGGAGGAAGGGCUACUUGGGUCUGCGAGGGGGGGGGGAAGGGGGAGAUGGUCCUCAGAGAUAGGCUUCGCUGAGUUGGGGUCUUGGGCUUGGGUGUGUCUGACCAGUGGAGGUUCGUGUGGCGGCUUACGUCUCUGGUCUAGGGAUGUGGGUGUUAGUCUCGUGUCCUUAUUAUUUGUGGGUAGACCUGCGUGUCUCCCAGAUCUCCCAAGCCAGGGACCAGUGCGACGUCUUUUCAUGCGUGUCCCUUGCCAUAGUUUCGUAUGUUUUGUUUGUGUCUACUGCUUGGACGCAUUGUGCAAUGGUGGGUGGAGAGGCUUGUUUCCACUUCCUGCUGAUGGUCGUUAGAGCGGCUAUAAUGAUGUGGUAGGCUAGGUAUCGAUGGUGUAGUGUCAGUUUGUGCGGCAAUUGGAGGAGUAGAAAAGUCUCAGGUUGGUGUGGUAAUUUUGUGUCGAUGCAGUGUGUUGUCAACUCUGCCACCUGUCGCCAGAAUUGUUGGAGCUCUGGACAUUGCCACCAGAUAUGUAGCAUAGUGCCUUUGUCGUUGCCACAUCUCCAGCAGGUGUCGGACGUGUUG